CGGAAAGCCUGCUCGCCCCACCUCCCCUGACACUCGAGUUACUGACCUUCUCAGUGCAGAGGAAAGAAACGUCCAGCUAACGUUGUGUAUGACGACGGCGUCUCUACAAAAGAGAAUCAGAGCCUUUUGUGUUCGAAUGCCAUGUCCAUAAAUCAGUGCUCCUGGAGUGAGAAGUCGUGUGCGGGGUCCUGAAGAUGGGGCUUUGAGUUAUUUACCCAAAACGGACGCUACCUGGAGCCUGAGGCACACUCGGCUGGAAGAUAAAACUGGGCGGCUUCUCCACAUGUUUUGGGGUCCCGAUAACCACAUAUUUGGUUAUUGGUGGCCCCUGCCCACCUUUUCAGCCCCCGUGGGCCCCAAGCAGCAGCCGCACCCCUGUGCUCCCAUGUUCCCGGACUCUCAUGCUCUACCCAGGCUGCUGUGUUCGGGGCUCCCUUCCACAGAUCCACCCUGAAAACUCCUACUUGUCCACUACGAGCCAGCCUGAAUGGCCCCUUCUUUCAGAAACGUUCCCCUCCCUCCCAGGCGGGAUUGGUCGCCACCUCUGUGGGUCUGGCUGGGUACAGAACUCAUCAAGGGCAGAGUUCGUCCUGUCUGCAUAUGCUGCCAGAGCCAACGUCAGGCAUGUAGUCCGGGUUCCGCUGCGGUGGGUGAGGGAGCGGUUUAAGGCCAGGGCAGGCCCUCCUGGACUCAGAUGAAGACUCCAGGGGGCAGCCCUCUCUCCUGCCGCAGGUAACGCCCGCCUGAGUGGGAUGGCAAAUGCACUGUGCGAUCGUUCCUAUCUGGAAGGAUCUCGGAAGGUUGGCGGAUCUCCCGAGAUGAGCAACGUGAGGGCGAGAGUGGAUGAAUUUGAAAUGUUACCGACAUACCGGCCGGUGGAUCAGUGUGUCCCUGUGGCUGGGACAAGGGACAGGGACGAUUCAUGGGUCGCUAAGGUGUUAAGGUGGUUCUCAUCCCCCCAGCAGAGGCGGAGCUCACAGCCUUGUCUGGAAAGGGGCAUGAUUGUGCAGGACUGUGUCCCCCAUUCUCUGGGCUCAUAAGGAUACCCGGAACAUGGCAGGGGCUCGACAGGCAUUCGAUGAGCUACGAGUGACACUCGUGUGACUCUGCACGGGUCACACUUUGUCUCCAGGUUCUCGUUAACUCUUCAAGCCUGAACUCGGGUGUCGGCCACUCUGCAGCACGUUGUCUGGGGGGUGCUUCUCCGCGGGCUCUUACGACACCCUGGUUUGGAGGGCAGGACUCCCUGUACUGAGCUGACUUAUUUGCUUCCGGUGUGGCUCCCGCCAGAUAGGGAGUGCGGGAGCAGUGGGAGCCAGGGGGGACAAGGUGCCGAUCGACCGGAGCUCUCUGUGAGCGCCCAUGACCGCUUCGCUUACUAAGGCAAAAAAGAAGCAGCAGUUUCUGGCUUCAUGUCUGCCCGUUGGACACCCCAGAGGAAGAGACGGCUCCUGGAAAAUGAUUCGUAAGUACAGGGGGCUCACGCCUGCCCGUCACUCAGCCACGGGCGAGGACCUUGGGACGGGGCUGGUGGAGUCAGACUCCUCAGAGCCCUCCCACACUCCCAAGUGCUACACGGAGACUGUGUUGCUGUUGUGGCAAAGCCAGAAAACAUCAUUGUUGUUUAGUUCCCGUGGGUUUUGUGGGUCCACUGUGCAGGCUGUGCUCAGCAGGAGGGCCCUGGUCAGCUGCCGGGCCACUGGGGAUGAGUGGUUUCUGAUGUCUUUGCUGCGGUGACUGGGGUGACAGGGGACCCUCCCUUCCCACGGGCUGGGCGGGGCUGGCUGCCGGGCUGUCCCAGGUCCCAAGAGCAGAAAGAGAAGAUGGGCGCCAGCACACACAACACUUCCAAAUGUCUUCCCCUCUCGCCUGCGCUGUGGUCCCAGGGGUCAGAAUGAGUCGCACGGGCAGCAGGGGAAGGAAAGUCAGCGGAGCCUUCCCACGCCGAAGGGAAGCAGCAAACAAAUUUGCAGCCGUCAGUGCGACCGGGGCUGAUGAGGGCAGAUUGGAGGAAAGGCUCUGUUGGGAGAGCAGAAGGGCUAACGGAGCCCAUAUUGGACCGGAGAAAGGGGUUUGCGCUGAGGACAGCGAAUGAGGGAAACUUCACAUCUGAGUGACCCUUAAACAGUGCCGGGUUCUAGACCAGGCGUGUUGCAUUGUCUCACUUAAUCCUUAGAAUUGUAGGUGGUUACACAGGCUCAGAGAGGCCCAGCAACUUGCCCACAGU